rnacentral:rRNA from 1 species
GGUUCUAUUUUGUUGGUUUCUAGGACUGAAGUAAUGAUUGAUAGGGACAGUUGGGGGUGCUAGUAUUCAGCGGCCAGAGGUGAAAUUCUUGGAUUCGCUGAAGACUAACUUAUGCGAAAGCAUUCACCAAGGAUGUCUUCUUUAAUCAAGAACGAAAGUUGGGGGAUCGAAGACGAUCAGAUACCGUCGUAGUCUCAACCAUAAACUAUGCCGACUAGGGAUGAGUGAACGUUGCAUUUUCGACUUCAUUCGCACCUUAUGAGAAAUCAAAGUCUUUGGGUUCCGGGGGGAGUAUGGUCGCAAGGCUGAAACUUAAAGGAAUUGACGGAAGGGCACCACCAGGAGUGGAGCCUGCGGCUUAAUUUGACUCAACACGGGAAAACUUACCAGGUCCAGACACAAUAAGGAUUGACAGAUUGAGAG